ACUCUUCACUAUGCUUAUUCCUGUCACAGUACAGUACAGCACUACAGCAGGUUAACAAAAAAUUCAGGGCCAAUCCUUGACCUUUUGAUAGUUUCAGAAGCUCAAAAGGUGAUUCAUUACUGGUUGAAUACUAGGCUGAAAUCAAGAUUAAAUUAUUUAUUUUCUAGAUUUAACCGGAAAGUUGCAAAAAGCAUCAGAUUUUGCAUAUCUGCUUCCAUGAGUUGAUUAAUUGUGAUGACCUCAAAUUGACAAGCCUAAUCAUCUAAAAGGAUUCAGAGCUUUGAUUUAUGGAAUGUGUAACAUCCUUCCAAUAAUGCCCUGGGAUUAUGGGUGUCGAUCAGUUAGUUCAGUUUGAUUUCGUUUGAAAUCAAGCAACAUUGAAAUAAUCAAAAUUCUUCAGAGUAUAAAUCUGAAUUGAAACGCUUUGCAGAUUCAGUAUUCUUUCAGUUAAAAAUAGAACACACUAGAACAACAACAUGAAAUUAAAAUAUAUUUAAAGUUUAAUACAGAGAAGUGACAUGAAAUCAAAUCAUCAAUAAAUUGAUAAAGAAAUCAAAACCCACACAAAUUUUCAGUAAAAAAGAAUUCAAAACUGAUAGUUAUAAAUUAAUGUCAGUAAGAACCAAAAAAAAGGGUUUUUGGACAGACCAAGGGAGAUUGAGGAUGAGAAUCGAAUAUGGGAAAUUGAGAAUUCAUGGCGAUAGAGCUUAAAGACAAACACGACCUCUUAUUGUUAGAAAGGGGACGACCGGAGGAGCAACUGUGAAGGAAUAAGAGAGUGAGAACAAUUGCGAGUAAGAAAGCCUGAGAGUGAGCAACAGAAGGAACAGCUGAGGUUUCUUCUUUCUUUAAAACGGAGUCCGCAGAAAGUCGUAUUAGAGAGUCCGUAGAACGAUGAUCAACAUUAGGAUUAAGGAGAAAAAAAAAAGUCGUAUUAGAAAGUCCGCAGAACGAUGGUAUGUCAUACAUUUCUACGUUAGGAUCAAGGAGAAAAAAAGCCACCGACAUCCAAUCCAACUAAUAACAGAAGUCCAAAUAAAAGAACGAAUCAGAGCAUCAGCAAAUUAAAAAAAAAAUGCUAGUAUCGGAAGAGCAGACAGAAAAGAUGCCAAAAAAAAUGAUGGCAAAAUAAAA
rnacentral:misc_RNA from 1 species